AUUGAACGCUGGCGGCAUGCCUUACACAUGCAAGUCGAACGGCAGCAUGGAGAGCUUGCUCUCUGAUGGCGAGUGGCGAACGGGUGAGUAAAGCAUCGGAACGUACCGUGUAGUGGGGGAUAACGUAGCGAAAGUUACGCUAAUACCGCAUACGCACUGAGGUGGAAAGCAGGGGAUCGUAAGACCUUGCGCUAUACGAGCGGCCGAUGUCAGAUUAGCUAGUUGGUAGGGUAAAGGCCUACCAAGGCGACGAUCUGUAGCGGGUCCGAGAGGAUGAUCCGCCACACUGGGACUGAGACACGGCCCAGACUCCUACGGGAGGCAGCAGUGGGGAAUUUUGGACAAUGGGGGCAACCCUGAUCCAGCCAUGCCGCGUGAGUGAAGAAGGCCUUCGGGUUGUAAAGCUCUUUCGGCCGGGAAGAAAUCGCACAGACUAAUACCCUGUGUGGAUGACGGUACCGGCAUAAGAAGCACCGGCUAACUACGUGCCAGCCGCCGCAGUAA
rnacentral:rRNA from 1 species